rnacentral:rRNA from 1 species
CACGGAGGGGGCGAGCGUUAUUCGGAUUCACUGGGGGCAAAGGGCGCGUAGGCGGGUUCUUAUGUCAGGUGUGAAAACCUUCCGCUUAACGUGAGAAGUGCACUUGAAACUGAGAGACUUGAGGAUGGGAGAGGGAAGUGUAAUUCCUGGUGUAGAGGUGAAAUUCGUAGAUAUCAGGAGGAACACCUGCGGCGAAGGCGACUUCCUGGACCAAUACUGACGCUGAGGCGCGAAGGCGUGCGCGGCGAACAGG